UGUUGGAGGACCCCCCUUUUCUCUUCUUCCUUGAUAGCGAUCAGGCAACAUCGCAAGACAUCCCCGGCUCUCUCUCUCUCUCUCUCUCCUCUGCUUUGGAUUCCCCCUCCCCGAUCUGGGGGAAGCUCAGCGGCCGGCUGGAUCGCUCAGCAUCCGUCCAAGACGCUCCGGCGCUUAAGAGAAGUAAUCAACGAUAAAGUGACGUUGAUCUGCA